rnacentral:snoRNA from 1 species
GGCCUCUUGACAUUGUGUCUGGAGCGUGCCUAAUAUUCCACCAGCUUCAGAAGCGGGAUGGAGAACAAGCUUAGCAGAGGUACCCAUUCCAUUCCCAGUUUGCUCAGUAGCUAGUAAUUGGAAGACACUGUGCAACAUCA